GAUUCCUUCCUGCAUUCUCAUGUCACAUAGGUUUGAAGCAUCGAUGACAGUUACUACAUAUCCUUCCUUCCACCAGCAACAUUCUGAGGUCAUCUCCUUUUCUUCUUUUCACCAUUCAAGUCAGUGUAUUUCUUGUUUCAAUGAACCAUGUCCAGAAGGGAUAAUUCUAUAAAUUAUUCAGUUGUAUCAUGGUUUAUUUAACACUAGAAAUGCACCACAAACUAACAUGCUAGUGUAAAAGGCUUAUUCUACAUGACACCCUAGGGGUAUUGAACUACAAGUCUUACCAUUGCCAGACAGAAUAACCAUUGUUCAAGAAAAUAGACUGAAAAAUAUAGUUUUCUGGGAAAUGAGGGAAAGUAGAAGUUCAGAAGACUGUCAGAGGAAAUAUGGAAGAUAACUUGAAAAUGACAGUGUGGAAGAGAGAAAUGCAUAAGCAAAGAUGAAGCUGUGAAACAGGGCUGUGAAAAUCGUGGGCCAUGGGCCGGCUGAGUCAUGCACUGGCCAUGCCAAUGUCCAGUUUAGCGAAGGGGGGAAAAGUCCCGAUACGUCACAUGAUGCUGCCAUGAUGGUGCAACUUUGACAUCUAAUACCUAAAGAGGAUGAAGAUCAUCAUCUGUUUAUGUUGGACUUGUAUUGAGAUUACAUCUUGCAACUCUUGUGAACUAUGUUGACUUGUGUUCCUGUGCUGGCAUAAAACAGUUGUUAAAUAAAUAAAUUAACAAACAAUA